rnacentral:sRNA from 1 species
AUGUACCACUCGUACACUCCGGUUCUGAGCGCGCCGUCCGCACCCACCUGACGACCGCUCUCUACGUUUUAUUUGCC